ACACUGCUGAUGAGCUCUAACUAGGGCAAAACUCGAGUCCAGUGU
rnacentral:hammerhead_ribozyme from 1 species